rnacentral:lncRNA from 1 species
UUGGCCUCCCAAAGUGCUGGGAUUACAGGCAUGAGCCACCAUGCCCGGCCCAAUCAAGUUUUUAAUUCUCUAAAUAACAUUAGGAUUUGUGCUAGAACCUUUAAAAUAUUACUCAAACGAGGGCAGCAGGGAUUGGGGAUAGGAUUUCUAUUAUUUGUGCUACCUGACUAAUUCUGGAGACUUGGACCCAGACUUUGGUGGGUUGAAUCCAAAGGUGCAGGGACUUUGUGUUCCCCAAGAGGGCAGGCAGCAGAGCCCAUGUGUUCUUUAACUAACUGUGUCUUUGUGUUUGCAAUGGCAAUGGGAAAGAGGGAAAAAUUAUAAUAAUUCUUACAAUGAUUAUGUGCUGGGAUCUUUGGCUGGAAUGAUCCCUUGGAAUGAAAAGCUGAUACUAUCAUGCCUUUGCUUACAUCCCUUCAGUGGCUUGUUUUCUUUGGAGCCUGUAAAAUCAAAGUCCAAAUCCUUCCUGUGACUUAGAGUCGCCGCAGUCUGUCUCUUGUCCUCCCUACUCUAGUGUACCCAUAUUGUCCACGGAUCUCGGAAUAUGUCAUGCCUUCUCUAGUCUCAGGGUCUUUGCACAGGAAGUUCCCAUGUUAUAAAAUGCUUUUCCCCCUUCUUUUCACCUUUAUAACCUCUACUUAUCUUCCUGUUUUAUGCUAAAGUCUCUGUCAGAGAAGGCUUUCUCAAAUCCUCCAAACAAGUCAGGUCAUUUCCCCCUGUAUUUCUACGAUGCCCAUUCUCAGAGCUGAUGGCAAUCAGUAAAACUGUGUCCCUCACUGUAUGCUUACCAGUUAAAACAUUGAAGACAAUACUUUUGUAAUUGUUGAUGAUUUAUUACUGCUCUGAGCCCCCAGUGCCAAGCCCUGACCACACGGACCCUCUUUGGAACAUUCCCUUUUGCCCAUUCCCCAUUACUCCAAAAUCAAGCAACUAAAAGUUUAUUCUCUGGCACCAUAGUGGACUUUCAGACCCCUGAUCUGAGGUUACAGCCAAAAUCCAUUCUGAUUGGCCCAUAUAAUCCCUGCUCAUAUUUCUGCCUUAUGAUUAUUUGUCUCAUAAUCAUGUUAUCGAGCAGUGAUUAUUUGUGUUUUUGGUAACAUUCUAAAAUCCAGAAAGCAGGGGCGAGUUUUAGAGUAUAGUGGACCUGCAACCUGAAAUACUCAAUAUGCACUUCUGUUAACUGCUUGUGUUAUUUAAUCCUCACAACUCCAUGAGGUAAAAGUUGUCCAGCCUUUCUAUUUUACAACUGAGGCUUCAAAAGAUAAAAGAGAUCCAUGCUGAAGGGAGAGGAAAAGAAGAAGACCCCAAGGACCACAGGCCUGGGCCUGUGUUAUCCCAAUGCCAUCAUCUCAGGAUACGAUGGGAGCUGCUAGGUGUAGAGAUGGCUCUUCUUUGAAGAAACCCCCAUGAAAUGGUUUCAGGGGAGGUCACUGUGGUUAUAUCCCAGAAGAUUUGCCCUGCAAGUGAAACAGAAGCUUCUCAUGGAGAUGUGGAGGGGGCUGCCCCGCUGUGUCAGAAAGUGGAGACUCUAUGGAACCAACCCCAUUAUACUGAGAUAGGGUUGAGGCUGCUGAUGGGUCUUUACCUAUUGUAGCUUCCAUUUGUAUGGUAGGCAGCCGCUAAGAUGGCCCCAGAUAUCACUGCCUUGUGAUAGUCCUGUCUUUGUGUAAUCCACUCCCCAUGAGUGUGGGCUGGAUCUACUGGCUCUCUUCUGCUAAACAGAUGAUCGAAAAAGUGAUGAAAUGUCACUUCUAAAAUUAGGUUACACAGAGAAUGUGGUUUCUUUUUUGCUCACUCCCUCUUACUCAGGGAAACUAGCUACCUCUUUAUGUACUGCCCUAUGGAGAGGCACACAUGUCAAGAAACUGAGGGAGUGCCUUCCAGUCAACAGCCAGCCAGGAACUAAGGUGCUCAGUACAGCAGCCUCCACAAAGGACUGAACAAUGCCAACAGCUAUUUGACUGUGCUUGGAAGAUCUCCGUUUAGUUAACCCUUCAGAUGAGACCGCAGCCCUGGCCAGCAAACAAAUUGCAGCCUAUGGAAAGACCUUAAGGCAGAAGCACCCAACUGAACCACCCGAGGGCUCUGACUUACAGAAACUGUGAGCAUAUAGUGAAAUGGCCUCUACCUUAUUUUGAAUGGAUUUCUGGGAUAAAGUUCUUCAGUGAUAACAUGUUUGAAGCGGCUAUCUUAUGUGCCCAUGUUACAUGCUCAUGAUAAAGCUGCAUUUCCUGAGGGGACACCAAUGGAUACACCUCUGCCUGGCACGCAGCUUAGAGGCUAAAUGUAUGAAAAGCAACACCAUGCAAAUCAUUUUGAAACUGCUGUGGAACUCUCACGGGACCCUCCAUUCUAGACAUCCAGUCCCACUAGUGAUCUGACCAUGAAACCUACUAAGAGACUUCCAGAAGAAGAUGACCUCUGAAAGGAGAAAACUUUCUUCCAAGCUUCUGUGGAACAAGAAGAUGCCAUCCCUUUGGUGGAGCCCAAAGGGAAACCAGGACACUGAAGGAAUUAACCAGAAAGAAAAGAAGAGAAGAAGGAGAAGAAAGAAGAAGAAGAAGAAGGAGAAGGAGAAGGAGACGAG